rnacentral:rRNA from 1 species
UACGUAGGGUGCAAGCGUUAAUCGGAAUUACUGGGCGUAAAGCGUACGCAGGCGGCUUUGCAAGACAGGUGUGAAAUCCCCAGGCUUAACCUGGGAACUGCGUCUGAUACUGGAUGGCUUGAAUUCGGGAGAGGGAUGCAGAAUUCCAGGUGUAGCGGUGAAAUGCGUAGAUAUCUGGAGGAAUACCGGUGGCGAAGGCGGCAUCCUGGACCGAGAUUGACGCUGAUGAGCGAAAGCUAGGGGAGCAAACCGG